UCCAGGGUAGCCUAAUGGAUUUGGCAUCUGCCCGGUAAGCGGACAACUGUGGGUUCGAUUCCCUUAACUGGAC
rnacentral:tRNA from 1 species